UGGGACUGAGACACGGCCCAGACUCAAUGAUAGAGGCAGCAGUAGGGAAUCUUAGACAAUGAGCGAAAGCUUGAUCUAGCUAUGUCGCGUGGGUGAAGGAAACCUUCGGGUAGUAAAACCCUUUAGUUGGAUAAAAGAUUAUGACUGAAUCCAACCAAAAAGUCCCGGCUAACUUCGUGCCAGCAGCCGCGGUAAAACGGA
rnacentral:rRNA from 1 species